GAUAAGGCGAUGAUAAGAAUAAGUAGCAAUAAGAGGUAUCAUACAGAAAGCAGCCGGUUGAUGAGAGGCGCAUGAGAGACUUGUUGUGAAUACCUCUUUGAGCUGCGUACCGAACUUUUAAUAUAUAUUGAAAAAGUAGGCUGCGACGGAUUGUGCACACGUUAUAGUGACAAAGUAUAGAAUUUCUGUACUUAGAGAGGCAGACAGUGCGAGCUGGCUGUGAAAAAAGGUGGUAACACGUGAGUUUUUACUCUCGUCCUUUUC
rnacentral:ncRNA from 1 species